rnacentral:tRNA from 1 species
GCCCUUAUGAUGGAAUGCAGACAUGCCGGCCUCAAAAGUCGGUGCCCGCAAGGGCGUGUGGGUUCAAGUCCCACUGGGGGUA